rnacentral:rRNA from 1 species
CACGUAGGGCGCAAGCGUUGUCCGGAAUUAUUGGGCGUAAAGAGCUCGUAGGUGGUCUGUUGCGUCCGCUGUGAAAACUCGGGGCUUAGCCCCGAGCCUGCAGUGGAUACGGGCAGACUAGAGGUAGGUAGGGGAGAAUGGAAUUCCUGGUGUAGGCGGUGAAAUGCGCAGAUAUCAGGAGGAACACCGGUGGCGAAGGCGGUCUCUGGGCCUUACCUGACACUGAGGAGCGAAAGCGUGGGGAGCGAACAGG